CCGCAGUGUGCUCUCUCAGUUGCAAAAGGAAGGAGGCCCGACAGCUUCAGAGUCAAGCAGUCGUCCACAGUGAUGUUGCGGAACAGGUAGGACAUGGACUCUCCGUUGUGGAUGCGGCGGAUGGCCUCAGCCAGGAUCAGACUCACAUCCACAGUUUUGAUCUUCGGACACUGCAGCUUCUGCACCUCAUGAGGAACGGUGUUGGUCACAACCACCUGCAUGUGUGGAGCAAAACUAUGGAGGCUCAAAGGUGCCACAAUUCAAUCAGUCAAUAAAUAAUUUGCUAAACUUUUAUGUACAUUGUGAUUUUUUUCUGACAAUUUAAGUAAAUGUGAUAAUAACCCAAAAUGAUCAUCAUUACACACUCAAAGCCUACAAAUGUUUAUUUAAAAAUUUAAUAUUUCAAAACCAAUUAUUUCUCACCAUUUAACUGGGAAUAGAUAUUAACUUGUAAAAUGCAUAUUUGAAAUUAGAAAUCAACAGUUUGAAACAUAUUUACAUAUAAAAUGACUAGAAGUGAUUGGGUUUCGGUUGAGUUAAUCAGUAAAAUGUUUGGGUUGAUAGUCACUCAUUUAUGUUGUUUUAGAUUUAUUAGUUUACUCUAAAAAUGAUGCUAUAUUUGAAUAUUAUGAUGCAUAUAUAUUAUUUAAAAAAUUAAAUGUGGUGUGCCUCUUGACCUUCUGUAAUAUAUUUAUUUAUUCACUAAUAAAGCAUUUCCAUACCUG